UGCUGAGGAGUCCCAUACUAGGACGAAACGGCCGUCCAGUGC
rfam:Schistosoma margrebowiei strain Zambia genome assembly, scaffold: SMRZ_contig0002813